rnacentral:rRNA from 1 species
AUUGAACGCUGGCGGCAGGCCUAACACUUGCAAGUCGAGCGAGUGGCGGACGGGUGAGUAAUGUUUGGGGAACUGCCCGAUAGAGGGGGAUAACUACUGGAAACGGUGGCUAAUACCGCAUACGUUCGGUUGAACCCAUAUGGGUUUAGCUAGUAGGUGGGGGAAAGGCUCACCUCGGCGACGAUCUCUAGCUGGUCUGAGAGGAUGAUCAGCCACACUGGGACUGAGACACGGCCCAGACUCCUACGGGAGGAAGCAGUGGGGAAUAUUGCACAAUGGGCGCAAGCCUGAUGCAGCCAUGCCGCGUGUAUGAAGAAGGCCUUAGGGUUGUAAAGUACUUUCAGCGGGGAGGCGUUACCCGCAGAAGAAGCACCGGCUAACUCCGUGCCAGCAGCCGCGGUAAUUC